GAUGAACGCUAGCGGCAGGCCUAAUACAUGCAAGUCGAACGGAUAUAUGUUUUUCGGAAUAUAUAUUAGUGGCGCACGGGUGAGUAACACGUACAUAACUUGCCCUCAAGCGGGGGAUAGCCUUGGGAAACUGAGAGUAAUACCCCAUAGAAUUAUUGGACGGCAUCGUUUGAUAAUUAAAACUACGGUGCUUGGGGAUAGAUGUGCGUCUGAUUAGCUAGUUGGUGAGGUAACUGCUCACCAAGGCGACGAUCAGUAGGGGGCGUGAGAGCGUGGCCCCCCACACGGGUACUGAGACACGGACCCGACUCCUACGGGAGGCAGCAGUAAGGAAUAUUGGUCAAUGGAGGGAACUCUGAACCAGCCAUGCCGCGUGAAGGAUGACGGCCCUCUGGGUUGUAAACUUCUUUUGGAUGGGGCGGAAAAACGGGAUUUAUCCUGGACUGACGGUACCAUCAGAAUAAGCACCGGCUAACUCCGUG
rnacentral:rRNA from 1 species